GGAUCCAGACUUUGAUUAUGGCUCAGGAUGAACGCUAGCUACAGGCUUAACACAUGCAAGUCGAGGGGAAACGAUAUUGGAAGCUUGCUUCCGAUAGGCGUCGACCGGCGCACGGGUGAGUAACGCGUAUCCAACCUGCCCACCACUUGGGGAUAACCUUGCGAAAGUAAGACUAAUACCCAAUGAUAUCUCUAGAAGACAUCUGAAAGGGAUUAAAGAUUUAUCGGUGAUGGAUGGGGAUGCGUCUGAUUAGUUUGUUGGCGGGGUAACGGCCCACCAAGGCUACGAUCAGUAGGGGUUCUGAGAGGAAGGUCCCCCACAUUGGAACUGAGACACGGUCCAAACUCCUACGGGAGGCAGCAGUGAGGAAUAUUGGUCAAUGGACGAGAGUCUGAACCAGCCAAGUAGCGUGCAGGAUGACGGCCCUAUGGGUUGUAAACUGCUUUUAUAAGGGAAUAAAGUGAGCCUCGUGAGGCUUUUUGCAUGUACCUUAUGAAUAAGGACCGGCUAAUUCCGUGCCAGCAGCCGCGGUAAUACGGAAGGUCCGGGCGUUAUCCGGAUUUAUUGGGUUUAAAGGGAGCGUAGGCCGGAGAUUAAGCGUGUUGUGAAAUGUAGAUGCUCAACAUCUGCACUGCAGCGCGAACUGGUUUCCUUGAGUACGCACAAAGUGGGCGGAAUUCGUGGUGUAGCGGUGAAAUGCUUAGAUAUCACGAAGAACUCCGAUUGCGAAGGCAGCUCACUGGAGCGCAACUGACGCUGAAGCUCGAAAGUGCGGGUAUCGAACAGGAUUAGAUACCCUGGUAGUCCGCACGGUAAACGAUGGAUGCCCGCUGUUGGUCUGAAUAGGUCAGCGGCCAAGCGAAAGCAUUAAGCAUCCCACCUGGGGAGUACGCCGGCAACGGUGCAACUCAAAUGAAUUGACGG
rnacentral:rRNA from 1 species